GCGCUACGGUUAGUUGGUAGGGCGUCAGUCUCAUAAUCUGAAGGUCGCUAGUUCGAUCCUGGCAGAGAGCA
rnacentral:tRNA from 1 species